CCUGGCUGAGCUAAAAUUGCCGAUUCAUGAGAAACCACAACCGGUUCACAAACCACCAUCAUUUCACAAGCCACCCGUUUAUGAGCUAGAAGGACAUCAUAAACCACCAUUUCACAAGCCACCUGUGCAUAAACCCCCGGUUUAUGAUACAGAAGAACUUCACAAACCACCAUUUCACAAGCCACCAGUGCAUAAACCCCCGGUUUAUGAUACUGAAGAACUUCACAAACCACCAUUUCACAAGCCACCAGUUCACAAACCUCCGUCAGUUAAUUAUGAAACAGAAGAACUUCACAAACCACCAUUCCACAAGCCCCCAGUGCACAAACCACCAACAGUUGAUACCGAAGAACUUCACAAACCACCAUUUCACAAGCCACCAGUGCACAAACCCCCGUCAGUUAAUUAUGAAACUGAAGAACUUCACAAACCACCAUUCCACAAGCCCCCAGUACACAAACCACCAACAGUUGAUAUCGAAGAACUUCACAAACCACCAUUCCACAAGCCCCCAGUACACAAACCACCAACAGUUGAUAUCGAAGAACUUCACAAACCACCAUUCCACAAGCCCCCAGUACACAAACCACCAACAGUUGAUACCGAAGAACUUCACAAGCCACCAUUCCACAAGCCCCCAGUACACAAACCACCAUCAGUUGAUCCCGAAGAACUUCACAAACCACCAUUCCACAAGCCCCCAGUACACAAACCACCAACAGUUGAUACUGAAGAACUUCACAAACCGCCAUUUCACAAGCCACCAGUACACAAACCCCCUUCAAUUAAUUAUGAAACUGAAGAACUUCACAAACCUCCAUCUCACAAGCCCCCACAUGUUCCUGAACUACAAGAACACCACAAACCACCUUCUUACAAGCCCCCAGUACACAAACCAC
rnacentral:lncRNA from 1 species